GUAGAACAUUGAUUCUCUUUGAGGAUGUGGAUGCUAAUCUCUGUGAAGACCGUGGUUUAAUUAGUACAAUACAACAGCUUGAGGAAACAGCAAAGUGUCCUAUGAUAUUGACUAGCAAUAGCAACGAUCCAGUGCUUCCAAACAAUUUGGACAGGCUAGAGUGGAGCUUUAGUAAACCGUCAGUUAAGGAGCUUCUCUGCCUUGUAUCUAUGGUCUGCUCGGAAGAAGAA